UUGGUAGCUUGCUACCAGAUGACGAGCGGCGGACGGGCUGUAGUAAUGCUUAGGAAUCUACCUAGUAGUGGGGGAUAGCUCGGGGAAACUCGAAUUAAUACCGCAUACGUCCUACGGGAGAAAGCAGGGGAUCUUUGGACCUUGCGCUAUUAGAUGAGCCUAAGUCGGAUUAACUAGUUGGUGGGGUAAAGGCCUACCAAGGCGACGAUCUGUAGCUGGUCUGAGAGGAUGAUCAGCCACACCGGGACUGAAACACGGCCCGGACUCCUACGGGAGGCAGCAGUGGGGAAUAUUGGACAAUGGGGGGAACCCUGAUCCAGCCAUGCCGCGUGUGUGAAGAAGGCCUUUUGGGGUGGAAAGCACUUUAAGCAGUGAAGAAGAAGUUAUGGUUAAUACCCAUAAUGGAUGACAUUAGCUGCAUAAUAAUCACCGGCUAACUCUGUGCCAGCAGCCGCGGUAAUACAGAGGGUGCGAGCGUUAAUCGGAAUUACUGGGCGUAAAGCGAGCGUAUGUGGCUUAAUAAGUCAGAUGUGAAAUCCCCCGGGCUUAACCUGGGAACUGCAUCUGAAACUGUUCGGCUAGAGUAGUGAGAGGGAAGUAAAAUUCCAGUGUACCGGUGAAAUGCGUAGAGAUCUGGAGAAUACCGAUGGCGAAAGGCAGCUUC
rnacentral:rRNA from 1 species